rnacentral:rRNA from 1 species
CAAAGGAGCAAUCCGCUGAAAGAUGGGCUCGCGUCCGAUUAGAUAGUUGGCGGGGUAACGGCCCACCAAGCCGACGAUCGGUAGCCGGACUGAGAGGUUGAACGGCCACAUUGGGACUGAGACACGGCCCAGACUCCUACGGGAGGCAGCAGUGAGGGAUAUUGGUCAAUGGGGGAAACCCUGAACCAGCAACGCCGCGUGAGGGAAGACGGUUUUCGGAUUGUAAACCUCUGUCCUCUGUGAAGAUAAUGACGGUAGCAGAGGAGGAAGCUCCGGCUAACUACGUGCCAGCAGCCGCGGUAAUACGUAGGGAGCAAGCGUUGUCCGGAUUUACUGGGUGUAAAGGGUGCGUAGGCGGGCUUGCAAGUCAGAAGUGAAAUCUAUGGGCUUAACCCAUAAACUGCUUUUGAAACUGUAAGUCUUGAGUGAAGUAGAGGCAGGCGGAAUUCCCGGUGUAGCGGUGAAAUGCGUAGAGAUCGGGAGGAACACCAGUGGCGAAGGCGGCCUGCUGGGCUUUAACUGACGCUGAAGCACGAAAGCGUGGGUAGCAACCAGGAUUAGAUACCCUGGUAGUCCAC